AGCUUUGCACAGUGGCAGUACUGUAGCUAGUGAGGUUUAUCCGAGGUGCAGAUAUUGCUAAUUAAAAACUUUUUUUCACCAUUCCAAGAUGGCCGAAUAGGAACAGCUCUGGUCUACAGCUCCCAGCAAGAUCGAUGAAGAAGAUGGGUGAUUUCUGCAUUUCCAACUGAGGU
ensembl:snRNA U4 U4 spliceosomal RNA